GACAGAGGGUGCGAACGUUGUUCGGAAUUACUGGGCGUAAAGCGCGUGUAGGCGGCAACGCAAGUCGGGCGUGAAAUCCCACGGCUCAACCGUGGAAGUGCACUCGAAACUGCGUAGCUAGAGUCCUGGAGAGGAAGGUGGAAUGCUUGGUGUAGAGGUGAAAUGCGCAGAUAUCAGGAAGAACACCCGUGGCUAAGGCGGCUCUCUAGUACGGUACUGACGCUGAGACGCGAAAGCGUGGGGAGCGAACAGG
rnacentral:rRNA from 1 species